CAUUUCUAACUGCUACGCUGGCGGUUCUCCAUCAGUUUUUAGGUUGGGAGGUUGCUCCGCCUUUUUCUGCCCAUCUUCUCCACAAAUCACGUUUCCUACCCAAACUGUAUAGUGGGUUCAAUAAACUCCCAAUUAUAACCUCCUUCAUGGUAUAAUCUGUCUCCGCAUUCACUCCAGUUAUGUCUCCAAAGUCGUAUUCUACCACCAUCUCCAAGCCCUACACCUUCAACUUUCCCCGAUCUCUUACUCAUCAUCAGAAGAUCCAAUUAGGGGCUUUUAAAAUCAUGGAAAUGGCAAGUUCCACCACCAAGACUCUCUAUAUCCAGUCUAAGGAGGACAUCGUCAACAAUUUUCUGAUCAGAUUCAACAAUGGCGAUACUAUUCACAAUCAAUGGUGCAAUAAGAUUCUUAUCAACCAACUAAUGGAAUGUGCCCCCAUAGUGUACACUCCAACAUUAGCACGUGUUUGCCAGAAAUACAGUGGACCAUGUCUCUUAAUCUUGAAUGAUAUAGUAACCAACUAAUGUUGAUAUGAUUGUUGUUACUGAUGGAAGCCGAAUAAUGUGUCUUGGCAAUCUUGGAGUUCAGGGGAUUCGCAUUGCAAUAGGAAAGUUGGAUUUACAUGUUGCUGCAGCUGGAAUAAAUCCUUAGAGAGUAAUCUCAUUAUCCAUCCCUAUAAUUUUUGUAAUUCUUAUCCACAAAGAAUUAAGAUCUGGAAAUAGUGACAGAGCUAUCUAUAAGAAGCUUGAAUACGAGUACGGAGAGACAAUCCUUUACGCUCCAAAGUUUGAUUGGCAUACUGCAGGUGUGUGGCUGUCAUUGGUCAGUUUAAAAGCGUCAUUCAAUGUUAUAUGGAAUAUUAUCGAAUUUGGACAAUUGUUGUGGAUAUAAUUUGAAGUGCUGCUAGAGGGAUAUGGGCAUACAGUUGGCACAUGCAAAGGACUAAUGUUCAUUUACUGGCUUUCAACCUGCACCAUGCUAUACGUGUGCAUACACGAAAUAGUGGAAGAAGUUAAAGUUGAAUCGAGUUCAAGAGACAUAGGGUGCCAUGUGGUUGAAGUUUUGGAUGAUGUGAACAUAGUUUUGUUUGAAUUUAUAGGCUUGCAGAUUCAAAAUGUUUCUACUUGCAUUCAGUUUUUGCUCCAAAAAUGGCAGCGGUAUGUCUUCAUUUUCUUCAUGUCUUUUUUUGUAUAAUACUAUGACUCUCAUUUUAUGACUACUUUUUUGUAGCAUUUUAUAACAUUAAUUGAGAUUCUCAAACACUAGAAUUGACCAGUGUUGGGUCUCAUGUUGAAGACUUCUUUAUUUGGCCCUAGACUCCUAGGUGCUAUGUAUUGACUAUUUCAUGAUGGCAUGUUGCUUGAAGAAAUUGAAGAAGCAGAGAGGCUGUACGGCUAAAGAACACAUCAGUAAAAUGCCUCCCUAUGCUGCUAGAAAAUGCAGUUCUAUCUAGCAUGACCUUACAAGGUAAUCCAUGAAGAAAAGUCCGAUUCAAGGUUAGCUAAUGAUAACCUUCCUCCCUAUCUCCAGAAAUCCCGUUGUCGCUACCAAGCCCUCUGCUCCUCGUCUCAUAUAUAAGUAAUAAAAAGUAAGACCAUGAAUUAAUAUUUAAUUAAAUUUUAAUUAUGGGUCUGCUUUAUUGUUUUUAAUCGAAUGGUAUCUUUGUAUUUGGUGGACUGGACAAGAUGAGGACUUAUGGUCCUUAUAUUGCCUUGCAUUUCGGCAUGAAAAGGACAUGCUUGCUUUUAGUGGAUGCACACAUGAUUUAUCCAUUGAAGAAACCAAUGAGCUUACAUCUAUUAGAGAAAAUAUAUGUUACUGGAAAGUGAAAGAUGUUGAUUUCAAGGAACAAAUAGCAAAUGGGUAUUGUUCUUGCUAUGGUUAUGUGUAGAGUCCGCAGUCCGGUAACCAUGUUCUCAUGACAUGUUUAUCGGCAAAAUAACUAUGGUGGAUGAUCGGAGUAUGGGCAAUUAUUCUAACCUUGCGUUUUCAAGUCUUUUGGAUCUUUAUUUAAAGAAAUAAUGUUUUUCCUUAUAAUGUAAAUAAAAAAUGU